GCCAUGAGCGUCCCCCUCCUGUGCUGGGGGGUCUGGGGUCUCCUGCAGGCAGGUGUGGUGAAGGCUGGGGUCUCUCAGAGCCCCAGAUUCCAGAUCCUGAAGACUGGACAGAGCAGGAACCUGAGUUGUGUCGAGGAUAUGAGGCACAACUCCAUGUACUGGUAUCGCCAGGACCCAGGACUCGGGCUCAGGCUGAUCUAUUACUCAUAUACUUUUGGAUCCAUAGACAAAGGGGACUUCCCCGAUAGGUAUAAUGCCUCCAGACCAAAUACGGGGAACUUCCUGCUCACGCUGGAUUCUGCCUCCCCCUCCCAGACAUCUGUGUACUUCUGUGCCAGCAGUGAAGCACAGUGCUGCAGGCUCACCACCUCUCUGCACAAGAAGGGAGGGCCCUGCACCCUGGGAAACAGCAGAGCCCUUUGCAGACUCUGA